UGAGAUAACUUGUGAUGAUCCACUACAUCUGAUGAGAUAACUUGUGAUGAUCCACUUCAAUCUUCGAAUCUAUUUUAUCAUUCCUCAUAUGUAUAUUUUCUAAAUUUAAAGAAAAUAUGCAAAAAACUCACCGAGUGGAAAGAAGUAAAUGCAACCCAGUAUAUUAUGCAGUUAUUGUCGAAAUCUGGUGACAAUAUUGAUGAAGGCAGCAAAAUUGAGGAUACGUUCAUAUACUUCCAAGUUUCAACAGGUAGACGGAAUCAAUAUUUAAAAUAAUUUAGUUGGUUUGUAGAAAAAAUAUGAAAUUUUUGUUUUAAAUAAAAGUAAUUUGAAUUUCA